GCAGCAGCCACUCUUUGUAGAUGUUUCAGGCCCUCCCCCAUUACUAAUGUGCUUGGAAAAAGGUGGUGAGACAAUGAGUGUGUGACCUCCACGGAUCCUGUUCCCAGUAACAUAGUUGGAGUUACGGGCAGUAACUCCCACAAUCUGGGGAAGCCAAGACGUGUGGGUCCUCGUGAUGUCCUAUGAUAGAUGUACAGUGUCAGCCAGUUUUU